CCAGACUCCUACGGGAGGCAGCAGUGGGGAAUAUUGCACAAUGGGCGCAAGCCUGAUGCAGCCAUGCCGCGUGUGUGAAGAAGGCCUUCGGGUUGUAAAGCACUUUCAGCGGGGAGGAAGGCAAUAAGGUUAAUAACCUUGUUGAUUGACAUUACCCGCAGAAGAAGCACCGGCUAACUCCGUGCCAGCAGCCGCGGUAAUACGGAGGGUGCAAGCGUUAAUCGGAAUUACUGGGCGUAAAGCGCACGCAGGCGGUCUGUCAAGUCGGAUGUGAAAUCCCCGGGCUCAACCUGGGAACUGCAUUCGAAACUGGCAGGCUAGAGUCUUGUAGAGGGGGGUAGAAUUCCAGGUGUAGCGGUGAAAUGCGUAGAGAUCUGGAGGAAUACCGGUGGCGAAGGCGGCCCCCUGGACAAAGACUGACGCUCAGGUGCGAAAGCGUGGGAAGCAAACAGGAUUAGAUACCCCCGUAA
rnacentral:rRNA from 1 species